AUCUAACUUGUGCGCUUUCAUGCGCCUGUUUUCUCAUCAUAUGGUGCCAGACUGCCUCUAACUAGCUGUCAAAGGCGGAGUCAACGAGGGACAACAGCGAGCUGCUGAGCACCGCUGUCAUUUAAGGCAGAUGGCUGCCCCCAUUCCCAGUGGAUUGGACUGGAGCAUGCAGAUCCUGGGCCAAGGGGGUGUGUACAAAACAUACUUCUUCAUCCUUGAGACACAAGCCUUCACCUCCAGAAAAUAUUUCCUGGCUGAGGGGAGUUGGAUCCUGGGGUGAUGCAGUUGGGGCGCCCAUGCCAGAUGACUCCUGGACUAGACCCAGAAGAGGCAUGGUGGAUGGGUCAUCCACAUUGCUGGAGUGUGAAAGGAGCCUUGGGGAUAGCUAGGUGGAGAGACCCGCCAUCACCCAGACACUGCUGGGCUUUGAGAUCCUUGAAGAGAGAGCAAAGUUCACGGUAAGGAUUUAAUAGGUCUGCAAUUUCUCCAGAAAAUGAAAAUGUGUGUAAUUAAUAGGCUACACACUAUUCACUGUACAGAUAGUCUGAAAUGUCUUUGUUCAAGGACAGAUCUGCAGGAUUAUACAGUCUGCUGCUUCCAUUAGUCCAGCACACAUUAGCACACAUUCAUCUGUAUUCUGUUUGUCUACACCUCAGCAGGAGUGCUUUUGGCAUCAUGAAUCAUUAACACUCUCACUGCUAUGAUAUUGUCGCCAUACAUAUUUUCUGCUUUCUCACCCUUUUGUUCAUGGCUUUGCUGCAACUUAAAGAGCUGUUUCCCAGCUUUGGUCUAUCCCUUCCUCCUAAGAGCAGGUUCAAAGACAACUAUGAUGAAGAGUUUCUUGAGAAGAGGCAGAAUGGGCUGCAGACAUUUCUGCAGAACUACAUGUUACACGUAGACACCAUCAUGGGUGUGUGUUGUGGCGACUUCUUCAGAGAUAAACCUCAACCUUGUUUGAUUUGGAGUUUUUAAUCUAUUUGCUCCUCAGUGAGGCCAUCAGACAUGUUCUUUGUUUUGUUUACCCACUGAGUAGUUUUGACAGUCAUAGAGUGAGGUUACUUUCUUCAAAAAAAAAAAAAAA